rnacentral:rRNA from 1 species
CCUUUGCCGGCGACCGGCGCACGGGUGAGUAACACGUAUGCAACCUGCCCUCUUCAGGGGGACAACCUUCCGAAAGGGAGGCUAAUCCCGCGUAUAUCGGUUUCGGGCAUCCGAGAUCGAGGAAAGAUUCAUCGGAAGAGGAUGGGCAUGCGGCGCAUUAGCUAGACGGCGGGGUAACGGCCCACCGUGGCGACGAUGCGUAGGGGUUCUGAGAGGAAGGUCCCCCACACUGGUACUGGGACACGGACCAGACUCCUACGGAAGGCAGCAG